rnacentral:lncRNA from 1 species
AAGAGGAGGAGGAGGAAAUGGAGGAGGAGGAAGAGGAGGAGGAGGAAGAAGAGGAAGAGGAGGAGGAGGAGAAAAGGAGAAGAGAAAGAAGAACAGAAAGAAAAGGAGAGGAUUAGGAGGAGGAGGAGGAGAAGGAAAGGAAGAAGAAGAAAAGAAGAAGAAGGAGAAGGAGGAGGAGGACGACGAGAAGGAGUAGAAGGAGGAGGAGAGAAAGACAAGAAGGAGGAAGAGGGGAGAAGAAGGAGGAGGAGGAGAGAAGGAGAAGGAGGAGGAGGAGAGAAGGAGAAGAAGGAGGAGGAGAGAAAGAGAAGAGAAAGAAGAAGAGAAAGAAAAAGAGAGGAUUAGGAGGAGGAGAAGAAGAAGAAGGAAGAGGAGGAGGAGGAGGAAAGAGAAGAAAAAGAAAGAAAAACAAAGAAGAAGAAGAAAGUAGAAGAAAUUCCAGCACUCAAGUCACAGGCAUGGGAAGAAAUCAGCCUGUGUACAUGUGAGAUCAAAAUAUCUGGAUGAAGAGGAAAAAUGAAAAAAUCCAGCCACCCAAUCAACAAGCAUUUGUUAAGCUCCCACAGCAAGCCAGUGUUCUAUGCUAAUAGCUAGGGUCAUAAAUAUAGAUAAGAUGCAGACCCUACCCUCCAAGGGGCCACAGUCUAGGGGGAGACAGAUGUGUGAGCAGAAGUUCUCAGUGUAGGCUGGGCAUGGUGGCUCAUGCCUGUAAUCCCAGCAGUUUGGGAGGCCAAAGUGGGUGAAUCACUCAAGGUCAGCAGUUCGAGACCAGCCUGGCCAACAUGGCAAACCCCUGACUCUACUAAAAAUACAAAAUUAGCCAAGUGUAGUGGUGCAUAUCUGUAGUCCCAGCUACUCGGGAGGCUGAGGCAGGAGAAUCACUUGAACCUGGAAGGCAGAGUUUGCAGUGAGCCGAGAUCCUGCCA